rnacentral:lncRNA from 1 species
CGAAAAAGAUACACAAACCCAAAGAAAAGCACACGUUAUAGGACAGGGCGCAGGCCGCGCCCCCCUCACGGCCCGGCGCUGCCGCCCCCAAAUGGCGGCGGGGCCGAGGCCGAGGCCGAGGCGGGGGCGGGGCCGGGCACGCGGCGGCUCCCCGGCGAAGUUUCCCGCGGGCGGGACCCGCGCCCCGCCCCGCCCCGCCCCCCCGUGCCGGCCGCCGGCGCGCGGGGCCCCAACUUUUCGGGGGCGGGGCCGCGGGGAGGCGGCGAGCGCGCGGCGGGGGCCGGCACUUGCCCGCCGCGGUGCGGCCGCGGGUCCCGGCAGCGCCCGGCUCGGCUCCGGGCGGGGGGGGGGCGGGAUGGGGACGGCGACGGGGCGGGCGCCGGGGGCUGCAGCGCGGCCCGGCCCCGGCGGCGGAGCGGCGGCGGCGGCGGCGAGCGCGCGCACGUGACUCCGGCGCUGGGCGCCCGCACACCGCGCCCGCUGCCCUCGCCGCCUCCCCGAGCACCGUGCGAGCCGCCGGCAGGGCACGGCUCGGCUCGGCUCGGCUCGGCACCGCGCGGCUCGGCACCGCGCGGCUCGGCACGGCACGGCUCGGUACCGCGCGGCACGGCACCCGGCGCCGAGCAGGCGGCAAGAGUUCGCGAAGGCUGCCGCUGCGUUGCCUUCCCGGAGAGGUUGCGCGCCCGGAGGAUGGCCGGCUGCGGGCUGUCGGAGGACGCCUUCUUCUCGUCCUUCUUCUGCAACUACACCUCCUCCUGGGAAGCCUCCUACAACCAGUGUGGAUGCUUGCGAUCCAGUUUGUCUCGCUAUGACCAGAAGGUAUCACUGAGGGAUACCAGCGCGACGGAUGCACAUAGGAGAGAACCUGACAUUGCCUCCGUAGCCCGUGUGUCAAGCUUUGACCACGUAUAUUCGCCUGUACAUACGUUCCAGAAGGGGAGCACUGAGCCACAAAUUGCACUGAUGUUGAUGAUGGUUAGAGAGCCUCACAGCAUCCUGGGAUUAGUAGGUCAAGAUUGA